GUAAAGACACGUGUAUGUAUCUGAAGAUACAAGGAGAUCUGCCUCAACAGAGUCAGAGUUUUGUGCCUCUCUGCGUCCAUUUCUCUAGCAAGACACAUUUUCCCAAGGGGAAGAAGAGAAGAAAAUGCUGAUGGUGGUGCUUCUCUUGUUUUAUGAGAAUAAGCGCAUUUAAGAUUGCGAAGUGCUCAGGCACCAUGGUGAUGGG
rnacentral:lncRNA from 1 species